rnacentral:rRNA from 1 species
AGCAGCCGCGGUAAUUCCAGCUCCAAUAGCGUAUAUUAAAGUUGUUGCAGUUAAAAAGCUCGUAGUUGAAUUUCGGGAUCAAUGUUUCGGUCAUGCCGUUGGUAUGUACUGAUAUUAUUGAUUUCUCACCUUCUAAAGAACCGUAAUGCCAUUAAUUUGGUGUCACGGGGAAUUAGGACUGUUACCUUGAAAAAAUUAGAGUGUUUAAAGCAGGCUCACGCUUGAAUACAUUAGCAUGGAAUAAUGAAAUAGGACAUCCGAUUCUAUUUUGUUGGUUUCUAGGAUCGAUGUAAUGAUUAAUAGGGAUAGUUGGGGGCAUUAGUAUUCAAUUGUCAGAGGUGAAAUUCUUGGAUUUAUUGAAGACUAACUACUGCGAAAGCAUUUGCCAAGGAUGUUUUCAUUAAUCAAGAACGAAAGUUAGGGGAUCGAAGACGAUCAGAUACCGUCGUAGUCUUAACCAUAAACUAUGCCGACUAGGGAUCGGAUGAUGUUAAUUUUUAAUGUA